CCUACGGGAGGCAGCAGUGGGGAAUAUUGGACAAUGGGGGGAACCCUGAUCCAGCGACGCCGCGUGAGUGAAGAAGUCUUUCGGUAUGUAAAGCUCUAUCAGCAGGGAAGAAAGAAAUGACGGUACCUGACUAAGAAGCCGCGGCUAACUACGGGCCAGCAGCCGCGGUAAUACGUAGGGGGCAAGCGUUAUCCGGAUUUACUGGGUGUAACGGGAGCGUAGACGGGAAUGCAAGUCUGAAGUGAAAGGCGGGGGCCCAACCCCCGGACUGCCUUGGAAACUGUAUGGCUGGAGUGGAGGAGAGGUAAGUGGAAUGCCUAGUGUAGCGGUGAAAUGCGUAGAUAUUAGGAGAAACACCAGUGGCGAAGGCGGCUUACUGGACUGUAACUGACGUUGAGGCUCGAAAGCGUGGGGAGCAAACAGGAUUAGAUACCCGGGUAGGC
rnacentral:rRNA from 1 species